UGGGGAAUUUUGCACAAUGGGGGAAACCCUGAUGCAGCGACGCCGCGUGAUUUAGAAGGCCUUCGGGUUGUAAAAAUCUUUUCUAUGGGAAGAAAAUGACAGUACCAUAGGAAUAAGGACCGGCUAAUUACGUGCCAGCAGCCGCGGUAAUACGUAAGGUCCGAGCGUUGUCCGGAAUCAUUGGGCGUAAAGGGUACGUAGGCGGGUAAGCAAGUUAGAAGUGAAAUCCUAUAGCUCAACUAUAGUAAGCUUUUAAAACUGCUCAUCUUGAGGUAUGGAAGGGAGAGUGGAAUUCCUAGUGUAGCGGUGAAAUGCGCAGAUAUUAGGAGGAAUACCGGUGGCGAAGGCGACUUUCUGGCCAUAACCUGACGCUGAGGUACGAAAACGUGGGUAGCAGACAAG
rnacentral:rRNA from 1 species